UACGUAGGGGGCUAGCGUUGUCCGGAAUCAUUGGGCGUAAAGCGCGUGUAGGCGGUCCGGUAAGUCCGCUGUGAAAGUCGGGGGCUCAACCCUCGAAUGCCGGUGGAUACUGUCGGGCUAGAGUGCGGAAGAGGCGAGUGGAAUUCCUGGUGUAGCGGUGAAAUGCGCAGAUAUCAGGAGGAACACCAAUUGCGAAGGCAGCUCGUUGGGACGUUACUGACGCUGAGACGCGAAAGCGUGGGGAGCAAACAGG
rnacentral:rRNA from 1 species